rnacentral:rRNA from 1 species
GACGAACGCUGGCGGCGUGCUUAACACAUGCAAGUCACGGGGGGUCCCGCAAGGGAUAACCGGCGAACGGGUGCGUAACACGUGAACAACCUGCCCUCGUGUGGGGGAUAGCCAUGCUAACGCGUGGGUAAUACCGCAUACGUUCUCUUUGGGGAGUCCCGAGGAGAGGAAAGCUCCGGCGCACGGGGAGGGGUUCGCGGCCUAUCAGUUAGUUGGCGGGGUAAUGGCCCACCAAGGCGACGACGGGUAGCUGGUCUGAGAGGAUGGCCAGCCACAUUGGGACUGAGAGACGGCCCAGACUCCUACGGGAGGCAGCAGUGGGGAAUCUUGCGCAAUGGCCGAAAGGCUGACGCAGCGACGCCGCGUGUGGGAUGAAGCAUUUCGUGUGUAAACCACUGUUGCCCGGGACGAACAGCCUUUUCGAGAGGUCUGACGGUACCGGGUGAGGAAGCACCGGCUAACUCCGUGCCAGCCGCCGCAGU